UACGUAGGGGGCAAGCGUUGUCCGGAUUUACUGGGCGUAAAGAGCGCGCAGGCGGUCGAGUAAGUCGAAUGUGAAAGCCCCCGGCUCAACUGGGGAGGGUCACGCGAUACUGAUCGACUCGAAGGCAGGAGAGGGUAGUGGAAUUCCCGGUGUAGUGGUGAAAUGCGUAGAUAUCGGGAGGAACACCAGUGGCGAAGGCGACUACCUGGCCUGUUCUUGACGCUGAGGCGCGAAAGCUAGGGGAGCAAACGGG
rnacentral:rRNA from 1 species